GACGAACGCUGGCGGCGUGCUUAACACAUGCAAGUCGAACGGUGAAGCGCCUUCCUUUUUGGUGGGUGUGGAUGAGUGGCGAACGGGUGAGUAACACGUGAGUAACCUGCCCCCUUCUUCUGGAUAACCGCAUGAAAGUGUGGCUAAUACGGGAUAUUCUGGGUCUGUCGCAUGAUGGGUCUGGGAAAGAUAUUGUUUCGGUGGGGGAUGGGCUCGCGGCCUAUCAGCUUGUUGGUGGGGUGAUGGCCUACCAAGGCGGUGACGGGUAGCCGGCCUGGGAGGGUGGACGGUCACACUGGGACUGAGACACGGCCCAGACUCCUACGGGAGGCAGCAGUGGGGAAUAUUGCACAAUGGGCGCAAGCCUGAUGCAGCGACGCCGCGUGAGGGAUGGAGGCCUUCGGGUUGUGAACCUCUUUCGCCAGUGAAGCAGGCCUGCCUCGUUUGUGGGUGGGUUGACGGUAGCUGGAUAGGAAGCGCCGGCUAACUACGUG
rnacentral:rRNA from 1 species